rnacentral:rRNA from 1 species
CGUUAGCGGCGGACGGGUGAGUAACGACGUGGUAACUGCCUUAUACAGGGGGAUAACAGUUAGAAAUGACUGCUAAUACCGCAUAAGCGCACGGGAACGCAUGUUUCUGUGUGAAAAACUGAGGUAGUAUAAGAUGGACCCGCGUCUGAUUAGCUAGUUGGUGGGGUAACGGCCUACCAAGGCGACGAUCAGUAGCCGGCCUGAGAGGGUGACCGGCCACAUUGGGACUGAGACACGGCCCAAACUCCUACGGAAGGCAGCAG